rnacentral:rRNA from 1 species
UACAGAGGUCUCAAGCGUUGUUCGGAUUCAUUGGGCGUAAAGGGUGCGUAGGUGGCAAGGUAAGUCGGGUGUGAAAUCCCGGGGCUCAACCCCGGAACUGCACUCGAUACUGCCAUGCUCGAGUACUGGAGAGGAGACUGGAAUUUACGGUGUAGCAGUGAAAUGCGUAGAUAUCGUAAGGAAGACCAGUGGCGAAGGCGAGUCUCUGGACAGUUACUGACACUGAGGCACGAAGGCCAGGGGAGCAAACGGG